AUUCUGAGAGGAUCCAGACAUCAUAUAAAUAUUCUCCGCUUUACCUUAGUGUAGAACCGACGCUUGUGCUGAUCAGUAGUGAUAUAUCAUCGCACGCCGAGCUGCGACCAUAACGUUUUGCCUACCUGAGCAUUAGGGCUAUCCUGUUUAUAAAGUUUGUUUUCGCGGUGACUGAUACUCAAAACAAGUGAAAAUGGCCCAAGAACUGAAGGUGGAUUCGCCUAAUGUGCACUAUGGUGAGGAUUACAUUGAAGUCGAUUAUCAGUACCAAACCACAUCGGUUCUCAGCACAGGACCCACCGGAUUUACGGUACGACCAGAAACCACCGAACUCAGCAUCCGCACGGAUCGCCGCGUGCCUCGCUUGGGUCUCAUGUUGGUUGGUUGGGGUGGCAACAACGGUUCCACGCUAACGGCUGCCCUGGAAGCCAACAAACAUGGUUUGGAAUGGAGGACGCGCACCGGAACGCAAAAAGCCAACUGGUUUGGCUCAAUUACGCAAGCAUCCACGGUCCUACUGGGAACAGAUGCCAGUGGACAAGAUGUCUACAUCCCGAUGAAGAACCUGGUGCCGAUGGUCAAUCCCGAUGAUAUAGUGGUUGACGGGUGGGAUAUUAGCUCGAUGAAUAUCGGGGAGGCAAUGGUACGAGCAAAGGUGCUGGAUGUACCCCUGCAGGAUCAAGUCCACAGAAAAUUGUCCCAACUGAAACCCCGCCCGUCCAUCUACGAUCCGGCUUUCAUAGCAGCAAAUCAGGCAGAACGAGCUGACAACGUAAUCGGGGGAACCCGUCACGAACAGUACGAACAGAUUGUGAGGGACAUCCGCGAAUUCAAACAAUCUUCAGGCGUGGAGAAGGUGGUAGUUUUGUGGACUGCCAACACAGAACGUUUCGCUGAGGUCAAAGAAGGGCUGAACACCACAAUGGCAGAGUUGAAGAAGUCUUUGGAGGAGAAUAAAUCGGAAAUAGCUCCGUCGACCAUUUUUGCAAUGGCCGCCAUCGCAGAAAAUUGCAUUUACAUCAACGGAUCACCGCAAAACACAUUCGUGCCGGGAGUGAUCGAAAUGGCUGAACAUUACGGAGGAUUCAUCGCGGGCGAUGAUUUUAAAUCCGGUCAGACCAAACUGAAAUCGGUGCUGGUUGAUUUUCUCGUGUCGGCUGGCAUCAAGCCGGUCUCUAUUGUGAGCUACAAUCAUUUGGGCAACAACGAUGGAAAGAAUCUCUCUGCGCCACAGCAAUUUCGAUCGAAAGAGAUCUCAAAAAGUAAUGUAGUUGAUGAUGCGAUUGCUGCUAAUAACAUUUUGUAUAAACCCGAUGAACAUCCCGAUCACUGUGUGGUCAUCAAAUAUGUCCCAUAUGUUGGUGACAGUAAACGAGCCAUGGAUGAGUACACCAGCCAGAUCAUGCUCGGUGGCCACAACACGCUGGUGAUUCACAACACCUGCGAGGACUCACUGCUAGCAUCCCCAUUGAUUCUGGAUUUGGCUAUUCUAGGCGAGCUUUGCUCCCGUAUCCACAUCAAGAGGAAGUCCGAGACCAGCGCUGAAUAUCAGCCCUUCAGAUCGGUAUUGUCAAUUUUGAGCUAUCUUUGCAAGGCCCCUCUCGUGCCACAUGGUACGCCAGUGGUGAAUUCACUGUUUCGUCAGCGGUCGGCAAUCGAGAAUGUCCUGCGGGCGUGCGUUGGUUUGCCUCCAAUCAAUCACAUGGCUUUGGAGCAUCGGUUCAACUUGAAUGUAACCGCCAACGAACCACCAACGAAGAAAAGUAAAAUCACUAAUGGAUCUUUACCAAAGGUUCAUUCGAAUGGAAACUGUAAAGACGUUCACCUCAAUGGGAAUGGCGUUAACGGUACGGCGAAUUGUUGAGGUUAUUGCUCUUUCAGUUCGUCAUUCAUUCAAAAGAAGCCAGAUUUUAUCAUCCUUGAACAGCGCGGUUUCAUUUGGAGUCAUAUUGUAAAACAAAUUAAAACACUUUUAAGUGUUUGAUAUUCGAAAUUGCAGUGUCAAAGUAUUAGUAGAUGGUUAUGUUUACUAUCAUAGAAAUCUUGCCAUCUUGACAAUGUCCAACAGCUGUGAAUGAUCACAUUCCAUUUUUCUUCCGGGAGCUACCUUGUGAACUUGAACUCAUUAUUGGAUAACCGCGCGAGAUAGCUGGUGGAUGAUAAUCCAGACGACCGGAGUUCGAACCCAUAUCGGAGCAGUUUUCACCAAACAUCAAUCUGUGCCAUUUUAGACAUUCAUAUUCCACGCCCAACACGAGUCAAUCAAACAAUUAUUAUUUCUACAAACAUAAAUACUCAUAUAUAAAAAUGGCAAUUCGUGAGGCUA